GGGACUACAGGCGCCCGCCAUCACGCCCGGCUGCUUUUUUUGUUUUAGUAGAGAGGAGGUUUCACCGUGUUAGCCAGGAUGGUCUCAAUCUCCUGACCUCGUGAUCCGCCCGCCUCGGCCUCUCAAAGUGCUGGGAUUACACGCGUGAGCCACCGCGCCUGGCCUGAAGAAAGAAGUCAUUAAAGAAGCAACCCAUGGCAAAACUAGUUAUUUUCUUAAAACAGUAGGAAGAAGAAAAGCUUUUUGAAUGAAUCACUUCUCAUCUUCUCCGAAGUUGGAAGCAUCAAGAAUCUAAAUAAGCAUUUAUGAUGGCUGGCAUGAAUAUUAGAGACGGGUUUCGCCGUGUUAGCCAGGAUGGUCUCGGUCUCCUGACCUCGUGAUCUAACUGCUCCGGCCUCCCAAAGUCCUGGGAUUACAGGCAUGAGCUGCCGCGCCCGGCCCAUCAGUUUUCUUUGUAUAGCUCUGAACACUAUAACAACCAGGAGUCCCUCUGAUUGAAGAUUUCUCUCCUUCAUCGUGCCUAUUUUAUGAACUUGAACAAGGAAGUUGCCACAACAUCUGUGGGCCAGAGAACUAUGCCAGAAUGUUAUUUCCAGAUUGCUUCCUGUAUUUACAAAGGUCUAUAGGUCCACUGAUACGGCUUUGCUACUCUACCCCGACACCCUGAGGACUAAUCUAUUAAUAGUAUGUACUUCUUAUAAUGAUGAGUGAGGCACAAAAGAGGAAGCAGAAACGUAAGAGACCUUCUAAAGCCUAUUCUCAGAACUGCCAUACUGUCGUUUCUGCCUCUGGCCAAAACAGGUCAUCAGGUACAAAGUCAAGAGCCCAAAGCCACAUGGUCCUAAGAUGAAGAAAGCCUGUGGAUUCAGGAACAGAUGAAUUUUAGGAGCCAACAACGCAAUCUACCACUUGCCUCUCUUAAGAAAUAUCAUUGUUUACCUAUGUGGUAAUUACCUGUAUACCUAUUUUUCUCUGCUAUGUUAGUACCCAUCUGCAUUGACUAUUUUAUUUGUAUGGUGCCUUUCACUUGGUAAGUUCUCAACACUGGAAAAAUAUGCAAGCCAACUAACUUUAUUCCCCCUGCACAUUGCCAAUUACAUGUAAGCUUAUAUGACAUGGUCUUUCUAUAAAGGCAAUUAUACAGAA
ensembl:lncRNA novel transcript